AUGCACUGGAGUACUUAUGUUUACCAUGCGCCCGAAUAUCAAUAUGGUAAUCUUCACCGAUUACCAAAAACAAGCCAUUUCUGGAUAUUAUCAGUAAGUAUGUGCAGAUCCAGUAUAGCGUAUUUUUCACUCCACAAGGAUAAAGAUCAAAUGAAUACUUAUGGUAAAAAAGAUAGGGAAAUCCUUGAUUAUUCAACGUCAGAUCGAGUCAUGUCCAAUGGCCAUUGGAAUUUUAUCUAUCCUUCUAUUUUUCAAGAUAAUUCAGAUUUGUUGGCGAAAAAGUGA
rnacentral:rRNA from 1 species